GACGAACGCUGGCGGCAUGCCUAAUACAUGCAAGUAGAACGCACAGUUUAUACCGUAGCUUGCUACACCAUAGACUGUGAGUUGCGAACGGGUGAGUAACGCGUAGGUAACCUGCCUGGUAGCGGGGGAUAACUAUUGGAAACGAUAGCUAAUACCGCAUAAUAUUAAUUAUUGCAUGAUAAUUAAUUGAAAGGUGCAAUUGCACCACUACCAGAUGGACCUGCGUUGUAUUAGCUAGUAGGUGAGGUAACGGCUCACCUAGGCGACGAUACAUAGCCGACCUGAGAGGGUGAUCGGCCACACUGGGACUGAGACACGGCCCAGACUCCUACGGGAGGCAGCAGUAGGGAAUCUUCGGCAAUGGACGAAAGUCUGACCGAGCAACGCCGCGUGAGUGAAGAAGGUUUUCGGAUCGUAAAGCUCUGUUGUAAGAGAAGAACGGGAGUGGGAGUGGAAAGUGCACACUGUGACGGUAUCUUACCAGAAAGGGACGGCUAAUUACGU
rnacentral:rRNA from 1 species